rnacentral:rRNA from 1 species
UACGUAGGGGGCAAGCGUUGUCCGGAAUCAUUGGGCGUAAAGAGCGUGUAGGCGGCCCGGUCAGUCCGCCGUGAAAGUCCAGGGCUCAACCCUGGAAUGCCGGUGGAUACUGCCGGGCUGGAGUCCGGAAGAGGCGAGUGGAAUUCCUGGUGGUAGCGGUGAAAUGCGCAGAUAUCAGGAGGAACACCAAUUGCGAAGGCAGCUCGCUGGGACGUAACUGACGCUGAGACGCGAAAGCGUGGGGAGCAAACAGG